CUUCAGAGGUAUAUACUUGUCUCUGCAAGGCUGGGGGUCCAUCUCAGAAGAGAAAUAAUAUUUACUUUCAAAACAGGUCUACAAAGCAAACAAAGCCUCAGAAAACGUACAAUAUUCAAAGUUGUGCUAAGAGAGGAGGGGAAAGGAAUUUAAUUUAGAAGGCCUUUGUGUGUGUGUGUGUGUGUGUGUGUGUAUGUGUGUGUGUGCGUGUGUCUAACAGAAAAUACCACAUGGUCCAGCUCUCCAGGAUCACUAGGUAGGUGGAUUGUUCAUUUCGGUCCCGGUAACAAAGGACAGCCUGGGCAAAGGGUCCUUUCUCACUGCAUGGGGGAAGAAGUGGGAAUCCUUUACCGUGACCACCUGCUUCCUUCGCUUCAAACCGGCACAGAAAGUGCCAAAUACCCGUAUAUCAUUCUCGGCGCGGAGCCCACGGUAUAAACCAACGUAGGCGGUGCACUAGAUAACAUCAAAGCCCCAGGCAGGGGCCAGAAAAGGGGGGGGGGGGCAAAGCAGCCGAGGGAAUGAAGCGCCUCCCCCUAGCAUUUCCUCUCACGCCCACUUCCAACCUAGGAGGCUUUUGGUUUCUGCUUUUGUUGUUUUUAAAAUUAAAAGUUAAACCCAGGAAGCUUUGGAUCAGA
rnacentral:lncRNA from 1 species